rnacentral:rRNA from 1 species
AGAGUUUGAUCCUGGCUCAGGAUGAACGCUAGCUACAGGCUUAACACAUGCAAGUCGAGGGGCAGCAUGUUGGUUGCUUGCAACCAAUGAUGGCGACCGGCGCACGGGUGAGUAACGCGUAUCCAACCUACCCUUGUCCAUCGGAUAACCCGUCGAAAGGCGGCCUAACACGAUAUGCGGUUCACAGCAGGCAUCUAACGUGAACGAAAUGUGAAGGAGAAGGAUGGGGAUGCGUCUGAUUAGCUUGUUGGCGGGGUAACGGCCCACCAAGGCUACGAUCAGUAGGGGUUCUGAGAGGAAGGUCCCCCACAUUGGAACUGAGACACGGUCCAAACUCCUACGGGAGGCAGCAGUGAGGAAUAUUGGUCAAUGGACGAGAGUCUGAACCAGCCAAGUAGCGUGCAGGAUGACGGCCCUAUGGGUUGUAAACUGCUUUUAUAGGGGGAUAAAGUGUGCCACGUGUGGCAUAUUGCAGGUACCCUAUGAAUAAGGACCGGCUAAUUCCGUGCCAGCAGCCGCGGUAAUACGGAAGGUCCGGGCGUUAUCCGGAUUUAUUGGGUUUAAAGGGAGCGUAGGCCGUUUGGUAAGCGUGUUGUGAAAUGUCGGGGCUCAACCUGGGCAUUGCAGCGCGAACUGCCAGACUUGAGUGCGCAGGAAGUAGGCGGAAUUCGUCGUGUAGCGGUGAAAUGCUUAGAUAUGACGAAGAACUCCGAUUGCGAAGGCAGCCUGCUGUAGCGCAACUGACGCUGAAGCUCGAAAGCGUGGGUAUCGAACAGGAUUAGAUACCCUGGUAGUCCACGCGGUAAACGAUGGAUGCUCGCUGUUUGCGUCUGACGUAAGCGGCCAAGCGAAAGCGUUAAGCAUCCCACCUGGGGAGUACGCCGGCAACGGUGAAACUCAAAGGAAUUGACGGGGGCCCGCACAAGCGGAGGAACAUGUGGUUUAAUUCGAUGAUACGCGAGGAACCUUACCCGGGCUUGAAUUGCAACUGAAUGAUGUGGAGACAUGUCAGCCGCAAGGCAGUUGUGAAGGUGCUGCAUGGUUGUCGUCAGCUCGUGCCGUGAGGUGUCGGCUUAA